rnacentral:rRNA from 1 species
UACGUAGGGUGCGAGCGUUGCUCGGAAUCACUGGGCGUAAAGGGUGCGUAGGCGGGUCUUUAAGUCAGGGGUGAAAUCCUGGAGCUCAACUCCAGAACUGCCUUUGAUACUGAGGAUCUUGAGUUCGGGAGAGGUGAGUGGAACUGCGAGUGUAGAGGUGAAAUUCGUAGAUAUUCGCAAGAACACCAGUGGCGAAGGCGGCUCACUGGCCCGAUACUGA